rnacentral:rRNA from 1 species
GAUGAACGCUGGCGGCGUGCCUAAUACAUGCAAGUCGAGCGAACGGACGAGAAGCUUGCUUCUCUGAUGUUAGCGGCGGACGGGUGAGUAACACGUGGAUAACCUACCUAUAAGACUGGGAUAACUUCGGGAAACCGUAGCUAAUACCGGAUAAUAUUUUGAACCGCAUGGUUCAAAAGUGAAAGACGGUCUUGCUGUCACUUAUAGAUGGAUCCGCGCUGCAUUAGCUAGUUGGUAAGGUAACGGCUUACCAAGGCAACGAUGCAUAGCCGACCUGAGAGGGUGAUCGGCCACACUGGAACUGAGACACGGUCCAGACUCCUACGGGAGGCAGCAGUAGGGAAUCUUCCGCAAUGGGCGAAAGCCUGACGGAGCAACGCCGCGUGAGUGAUGAAGGUCUUCGGAUCGUAAAACUCUGUUAUUAGGGAAGAACAUAUGUGUAAGUAACUGUGCACAUCUUGACGGUACCUAAUCAGAAAGCCACGGCUAACUACGUGCCAGCAGCCGCGGUAAUACGUAGGUGGCAAGCGUUAUCCGGAAUUAUUGGGCGUAAAGCGCGCGUAGGCGGUUUUUUAGUCUGAUGUGAAAGCCCACGGCUCAACCGUGGAGGGUCAUUGGAAACUGGAAAACUUGAGUGCAGAAGAGGAAAGUGGAAUUCCAUGUGUAGCGGUGAAAUGCGCAGAGAUAUGGAGGAACACCAGUGGCGAAGGCGACUUUCUGGUCUGUAACUGACGCUGAUGUGCGAAAGCGUGGGGAUCAAACAGGAUUAGAUACCCUGGUAGUCCACGCCGUAAACGAUGAGUGCUAAGUGUUAGGGGGUUUCCGCCCCUUAGUGCUGCAGCUAACGCAUUAAGCACUCCGCCUGGGGAGUACGACCGCAAGGUUGAAACUCAAAGGAAUUGACGGGGACCCGCACAAGCGGUGGAGCAUGUGGUUUAAUUCGAAGCAACGCGAAGAACCUUACCAAAUCUUGACAUCCUUUGACAACUCUAGAGAUAGAGCCUUCCCCUUCGGGGGACAAAGUGACAGGUGGUGCAUGGUUGUCGUCAGCUCGUGUCGUGAGAUGUUGGGUUAAGUCCCGCAACGAGCGCAACCCUUAAGCUUAGUUGCCAUCAUUAAGUUGGGCACUCUAAGUUGACUGCCGGUGACAAACCGGAGGAAGGUGGGGAUGACGUCAAAUCAUCAUGCCCCUUAUGAUUUGGGCUACACACGUGCUACAAUGGACAAUACAAAGGGCAGCGAAACCGCGAGGUCAAGCAAAUCCCAUAAAGUUGUUCUCAGUUCGGAUUGUAGUCUGCAACUCGACUACAUGAAGCUGGAGUCGCUAGUAAUCGUAGAUCAGCAUGCUACGGUGAAUACGUUCCCGGGUCU